rnacentral:lncRNA from 1 species
GGUACAUUGACUUCAACACAAAAUCUAGGAGGCUCAUAGGCCUCACGCCCUUCCACAGACCUACAUGGUAAUUAUGACGACCUCCAACCAAUCAAAGCUUUUGCAGUAUGUCACGGUUGUCGUCGGUUAAGGAGGACCAAAACGCAGCAGUCAAGUCCUUUCCUGCACUGAAGUCAAGCCUCUGAACGCCUCAACUCAUGCCUCAUACCCUCAUUCAAUCACUGCUGUGUACCCUUUCCAACACUGUAUGUAGCCCUCUCAUUCCCAUUCCCCAUAAUAUUGUACUAUAAAUGUCUUUAUUAAAUGCUUUAGGUUAAAAUCAUUAGUCUUUGACGAUUUUUGAAACACUCUUUGUCGUCUCCGUGCGUUCCGCGCCUAUACCGUGGGCCUCCCACCCUCCUCAAUUUUUAAGUCAUCAGCCUCCACUGGUGCUCACCCCCUUCCUACAUCUUUAAGGUGGCCAGACUCCAAUGAGAAUCACCCUCUUGGGCUGACUGAGGAUGUAUGUGAUACCUCUCCUCUUUGAUCUUUACAGAACCAGGAUGUAAUACAGAGAAAAGGAAAGGGUGG